AAAAAACGCCUAUAGACGCAAAUCUAAGUUUGACAGCAAGAAAAAACCACCCGCCAUGUCAGUAAAUUAUCUCUCUCUCUCUCUAUAUAUAUCUAUCUAUCUAUGAAUUUAGUGUGCUUUGAUAGUAGACGAGAGGUUUUUCUCUUUUGUUUGUUUUGUUUUAGUAGGAUGGUGGAUUUUGUCGUAGGAUAUAUACCGGUGAUAAACAUCCAUGUUUUUCUUUCCAUAUUUUUUUCACCCUCCUUUCCAGUUGCAUUUGAUUUUUCAAUCUUUCGAAUUAAUUUGGUAAGUUCUCUCUGUUGUGAAUAUCCCUCUUCGAAAUAAUUACUUUAAUUAUGAGGAACUUUUGAAUUUAUUUGAGUUGAAAACAAGUUCUAACGGUCACUUUAUUUGUUCAAGUUAUGCCACAUGGUGACGGGAAGAACUUAUUCACGUUAAUUCAUUAUUCUAAUUAAUCGAUGCAAGCCUAAACAAAUAUCGACUGUCAAUUUGAUUGUUAAUUCGUUACCGAAGGAUCAAAAGGACUUCUCUAUUGUACAACUAUUGAAACCAUGCACUUCUCUUGCUGCAAAAACUUGACUACAGUGUGAUGUCCACAUGGUAUUAGUUUAUUAGUUUAUGUUUAUUAUUUCUAAAGUCGAUUUAUUUAUUUUGAUAGUUGUACUAUUGUUUGUUGUUUCUGUUUGUGCUCCAAGUAUCAAUUCUGUUUGUUGAUUCUUUAAGAAACCUGUAUUUUUUCUAGGUUUCUCAGUUAAAUCUCUUAAUAUCUUUAUUGCUAAAGUUGUAUGAAUUGUUGUUACCUUUUGUGUUUCAUUUUUUAAACCAAUUGUUUCUUUUGGCAUAACAUCUGAGUUUUUUGCUAAAAUAUCUGAAUUUCUUUAUUUCAAUAGUUGUCAGAAUAGUUUUGUUUUUUUAAUUCCUUCUAAAAUCAUAGUUGUGCUAAUGCUAAAUUACUUCUGUUUAUGCUCCAUUUCUUAAGUCGUAUUUUGCUUUUGCUAGAAUUCUGUCUUUUGCUAACUUUCUCGAUUAAAUAUCUGAUUUUAUUUAUUUCGAUGGAUGUAUUGAUAUUUGUUGUUUCUAUUUUUUUUAUAAGACUACGGAAGAAUCUUUCUUUUUGUUACUAUUUAAUAUUUAACAAAACAAAUAUUUUGUUUUCAUUGUUUAUUAAUAAGCAAAAUCCCAACACGACUUCUGCAAAAUUUAUGUAAUUACAUGUGUAUAAGCAAAGUCACAAAAGAAAGAGGACUAUGAAUUCCACUUGAAGCAUUUUCAUAGCUUUUUCGAAGAGAGAAGGAUAAUAUUGAUAUUUUGGAAAUUUGACAAUACCUUUAAUUUAAUUUAUGUAUUUUCACAUCAGUUAUUAUUGUUCUAAUUUCUGUACUUUUUAUUUGAUAAUUUCUCCAUAUAUUUCACAUAAGUUGUCCUUUAAAGUUUUCCUGUCUGAUUUGCUUUGAGCUAUUUUUAAUGCAAUAGUUUGCUUCUCCUUUAUAAUAACGUGUGACAUACUUGAAUGUUUGUGUUCUGAUUUAAAUGGCUAGGAGUUGGGGUAAUGAAGAAGACGUUUUUCAUUAUAUAUAUAUAUAUAUAUAUAUAUAUAUAUAUAUAUAUAUAUAUAUAUAUAUAUAUAUAUAUAUAUAUAUAUAAACUUAACAUUACUUUUAUUUAUUCUUUAGGAUUUCAUAUGUGAUAAUGAUGCCACAAUUUCUUUACGAAAAUCAUUGAAGAAACGAACUGGUGAUCGUGUUGAUAUCUACAAUAUGUCAGGUGAUCGUGUUGAUAUCUACAAUAUGUCAGGUGAUGGAGCAAUUCAAGUUUCCAACUUUGAAGAGUAUAUGUAUCUACAAGUUUUCGUUUAUAUAGUUUGUUAAGUUAUUUGUUAUUGUAUUUUUCUAUAAGUUAUUUGUUAUUUUCUAUAAUUUUCCGCUCGAUAAUUUAUUUUUAAACAUGUAAAAGUUUGAUCUAUGUUUGUUCAAACAUUGUCCUACAGUACACAAACGUGACGCGUGCUAUUUUUUCCAAUAGUAACUUUGGCAUUUACUAAUGUUAUAUAUUCAAUAUGCCCG
rnacentral:lncRNA from 1 species